AACGAACGCUGGCGGCAGGCUUAACACAUGCAAGUCGAGCGCCCCGCAAGGGGAGCGGCAGACGGGUGAGUAACGCGUGGGAACGUACCCUUUGCUACGGAAUAGCUCCGGGAAACUGGAAUUAAUACCGUAUGCGCCCUACGGGGGAAAGAUUUAUCGGCAAAGGAUCGGCCCGCGUUGGAUUAGCUAGUUGGUGGGGUAAUGGCCUACCAAGGCGACGAUCCAUAGCUGGUCUGAGAGGAUGAUCAGCCACAUUGGGACUGAGACACGGCCCAAACUCCUACGGGAGGCAGCAGUGGGGAAUAUUGGACAAUGGGCGCAAGCCUGAUCCAACCAUGCCGCGUGAGUGAUGAAGGCCUUAGGGUUGUAAAGCUCUUUCACCGAUGAAGAUAAUGACGGUAGUCGGAGAAGAAGCCCCGGCUAACUUCGUGCCAGCAGCCGCUGUAACAC
rnacentral:rRNA from 1 species